UCCAGACUCCUACGGGAGGCAGCAGUGGGGGAUAUUGCACAAUGGGGGGAACCCUGAUGCAGCGACGCCGCGUGGGUGAAGGAGCGUUUCGGCGCGUAAAGCCCUAUCGGCAGGGAAGAAGGAGGACGGUACCUGACUAAGAAGCCCCGGCUAACUACGUGCCAGCAGCCGCGGUAAUACGUAGGGGGCAAGCGUUAUCCGGAUUUACUGGGUGUAAAGGGGGCGCAGACGGCAGCGCAAGCCAGGAGUGAAAGCCCGGGGCCCAACCCCGGGACUGCUCUUGGAACUGCGCGGCUGGAGUGCAGGAGGGGCAGGCGGAAUUCCUGGUGUAGCGGUGAAAUGCGUAGAUAUCAGGAGGAAUACCGGUGGCGAAGGCGGCCUGCUGGACUGCGACUGACGUUGAGGCCCGAAAGCGUGGGGAGCAAACAGGAUUAGAUACCCCAGUA
rnacentral:rRNA from 1 species